rnacentral:rRNA from 1 species
UAGUCAUAUGCUUGUCUCAAAGAUUAAGCCAUGCACGUGUAAGAUCGUCUUGAAUAGCAAUAUUUACCGGCAAUCUGUGGAAAGCUCAUUAUAACAGUUACAAACUUGGCUUUCUAGCUUAAAGUUAAAAGGAUAACACAGUCAAAUGCAGUGAUAAUACUUGAACCAAAGCUAAUGAAUUGUAUAGUUAGCGAACAAUAGCGAGUAAGGGAAAAUACGCUAUAGCAUCCUUUUGGAUCGAUUGACCUCAUUUGAGGCCUAGGAGAAGUAUUUCUUACUUAUCAUGCUAGUUGUUUCAGUAAGGGUGAAACAAGGCCGUCACGGGUACGGAAAAUUGGGGUUUGACACCGGAGAGGGAGCCUGAGAAAUGGCUACCACAUCUAAGGAUGGCAGCAGGCGCGAAAAUUACCCAAUCCUAACAUUUGGGAGGUAGUGACAAGAAAUAACGUCCUUCCAUUCUUGGAAGGGUACCGCAAGGUUUGGAAUGGUUCUAGUUCAAAUUUCUAUUAGAGUAACAAUU